UGGCCACAUCAUGUUGAAACAUCAGUUUCCGUAAGAUCACCAAAGUUAAGCAACAUCAAGCCUGGUCUGUACAUUGAUGGGUGACCACUUGGGAAUGCCAGGUGCUGCAAG